rnacentral:rRNA from 1 species
GACGAACGCUGGCGGCGUGCUUAACACAUGCAAGUCGAACGGAAAGGCCCUGCCUUUGUGGGGUGCUCGAGUGGCGAAGGGGUGAGUAACACGUGAGUAACCUGUACCUGACUGUGGGAUAACUUCAGGAAACAGGGGCUAAUACCGCAUAGGAGCUCUUGCUGCAUGGUGGGGGUUGGUAAGAUUCGGCGGUUGGGGAUGGACUCGCGGCUUAUCAGCUUGUUGGUGGGGUAGUGUCAUACCAAGGCUUUGAAGGGUAGCCGACCUGAGAGGGGAGCCUGCCACGUUAGACCUGAGAUAAGACCCAGCCUCGAACGGUAGGCAACGGUGGAGAAGAUUACACAAUGGGCUGAAGGCAGGUCUGGCAACGCCGCGUGCGGUAAGACAUGCUUGGGGUUGGGAUCCGAUUUCGCCUUAGACGAGGUGAUAGUGACGGUAAUGGGUAAAGAAGCUCCGGCUAACUACGUG